GACGAACGCUGGCGGCGCGCCUAACACAUGCAAGUCGAACGAGCGAGAGAGAGCUUGCUUUCUCGAGCGAGUGGCGAACGGGUGAGUAACGCGUGAGGAACCUGCCUCAAAGAGGGGGACAACAGUUGGAAACGACUGCUAAUACCGCAUAAGCCCACGGGUCGGCAUCGACCAGAGGGAAAAGGAGCAAUCCGCUUUGAGAUGGCCUCGCGUCCGAUUAGCUAGUUGGUGAGGUAAUGGCCCACCAAGGCGACGAUCGGUAGCCGGACUGAGAGGUUGAACGGCCACAUUGGGACUGAGACACAGCCCAGACUCCUACGGGAGGCAGCAGUGGGGAAUAUUGCACAAUGGGGGAAACCCUGAUGCAGCGACGCCGCGUGGAGGAAGAAGGUCUUCGGAUUGUAAACUCCUGUUGUUGGGGAAGAUAAUGACGGUACCCAACAAGGAAGUG
rnacentral:rRNA from 1 species